GUUAGGAAUAUUGGACAAUGGGCGCAAGCCUGAUCCAGCCAUGCCGCGUGAGUGAUGAAGGCCUUCGGGUUGUAAAGCUCUUUAGCCGAUGAUUAUAAUGACUGUAGUCGGAAAAUAAGCCCCGGCUAACUUCGUGCCAGCAGCCGCGGUAAUACGAAGGGGGCGAGCGUUAUUCGGAAUCACUGGGCGUAAAGCGUGCGUAGGCGGUUUUGUAAGUUAGGAGUGAAAGCCCAGGGCUCAACCUUGGAAUUGCUCUUAAAACUGCAAGGCUCGAAUCUCGGAGAGGAUAGCGGAAUUUCCAGUGUAGCAGUGAAAUGCGUAGAUAUUGGAAGGAACACCAGUGGCGUAAGCGGCUAUCUGGACGAGUAUUGACGCUGAGGCACGAAAGCGUGGGGAUCAAACAGGAUUAGAUACUCCGGUAGUCC
rnacentral:rRNA from 1 species